rnacentral:rRNA from 1 species
UCCCGCCGGACCUGACUGCUAUCGGAUUGAUACUAAGCCAUGCGAGUCUUUGUAGUAAUACAAGGCAUACGGCUCAGUAACACGUAGUCAACCUACCCUAUGGACAAGAAUAAUCUCGGGAAACUGGGCAUAAUUCUUGAUAGAUCAUAAUGCCUGGAAUGGUUUAUGGUUAAAAUGAUUCGUCGCCAUAGGAUGGGACUGCGGCCUAUCAGCUUGUUGGUGAGGUAAUGGCCCACCAAGGCGAUUACAGGUACGGGCUCUGAGAGGAGAAGCCCGGAGAUGGGUACUGAGACACGGACCCAGGCCCUAUGGGGCGCAGCAGGCGAGAAAACUUUGCAAUGUGCGAAAGCACGACAAGGUUAAUCCGAGUGAUUUCUGCUAAAGAAAUCUUUUGCCAGUCAUAAAACCACUGGUGAAUAAGGGGUGGGCAAGUUCUGGUGUCAGCCGCCGCGGUAAAACCAGCACCUCAAGUGGUCAGGAUGAUUAUUGGGCCUAAAGCAUCCGUAGCCGGCUUUGUUAGUUUUCGGUUAAAUCCAUGUGCUCAACGCAUGGGCUGCCGAAAAUACUGCAUAGCUAGGGAGUGGGAGAGGUAGACGGUACUCAGUAGGAAGGGGUAAAAUCCUUUGAUCUAUUGAUGACCACCUGUGGCGAAGGCGGUCUACCAGAACACGUUCGACGGUGAGGGAUGAAAGCUGGGGGAGCAAACCGGAUUAGAUACCCGGGUAGUCCCAGCUGUAAACGAUGCAGACUCGAUGAUGCAUUGGCAUAAUAGCCAGUGCAGUGUCGCAGGGAAGCCGUUAAGUCUGCCGCCUGGGAAGUACGUACGCAAGUAUGAAACUUAAAGGAAUUGGCGGGGGAGCACCACAAGGGGUGAAGCCUGCGGUUC